rnacentral:tRNA from 2 species
GCCCUGGUAGCUCAGCCGGCAGAGCGCGUCCAUGGUAAGGACGAGGUCGCGGGUUCGAUCCCCGCCUAGGGCU